AACGAACGCUGGCGGCAUGCCUAACACAUGCCAGUCGAACGAUGCCUUCGGGCAUAGUGGCGCACGGGUGCGUAACGCGUGGGAAUCUGCCUUUCGGUUCGGGAUAACUCAGGGAAACUUGAGCUAAUACCGGAUAACGUCGCAAGACCAAAGAUUUAUCACCGAAAGAUGAGCCCGCGUAGGAUUAGCUAGUUGGUGAGGUAAAGGCUCACCAAGGCGACGAUCCUUAGCUGGUCUGAGAGGAUGAUCAGCCACACUGGGACUGAGACACGGCCCAGACUCCUACGGGAGGCAGCAGUGGGGAAUAUUGGACAAUGGGCGAAAGCCUGAUCCAGCAAUGCCGCGUGAGUGAUGAAGGCCUUAGGGUUGUAAAGCUCUUUUACCCGGGAAGAUAAUGACGGUACCGGGAGAAUAAGCCCCGGCUAACUCCGUG
rnacentral:rRNA from 1 species